AUACGGAGGGUGCAAGCGUUAUUCGGAAUCACUGGGCGUAAAGGACGCGUAGGCGGGUUGGCAAGUCAGAUGUGAAAUCCUACAGCUUAACUGUAGAACUGCAUUUGAAACAGCUAACCUAGAGUAUGGGAGGGGGAGAUGGAAUUAGUGGUGUAGGGGUAAAAUCCGUAGAUAUCACUAGGAAUACCGAAAGCGAAGGCGAUCUCCUGGAACAUAACUGACGCUAAGGCGUGAAAGCGUGGGGAGCAAACAGGAUUAGAAACCCUAGUAGUCC
rnacentral:rRNA from 1 species